rnacentral:tRNA from 1 species
GGAGAGGUGGCAGAGUGGUCUAUUGCGGCAGUCUUGAAAACUGCUGUGCUCGCAAGGGUACCGGGGGUUCGAAUCCCUCCCUCUCCG